AAUGCCGCGUGUGUGAAGAAGGCCUGCGGGUUGUAAAGCACUUUUGUCAGGGAAGAAACGGCCUGGGUUAAUACCCCGAGGCAAUUGACGGUACCUGAAGAAUAAGCACCGGCUAACUCCGUGCCAGCAACGUCGGUGACUGAGCGGGCUGGCAAGGCGCAUA
rnacentral:rRNA from 1 species